UGGAGUGGCCGAGUGGUUAAAGGCAACAGACUGUAAAUCUGUCCUCUAUGAGUUCGAAGGUUCGAAUCCUUCCUCCACC
rnacentral:tRNA from 1 species